GACGAACGCUGGCGGCGUGCUUAACACAUGCAAGUCGAACGGAAAGGCCCUGCUUUUGUGGGUUGCUCGAGUGGCGAACGGGUGAGUAACACGUGAGUAACCUGCCCUUGACUUUGGGAUAACUUCAGGAAACUGGGGCUAAUACCGGAUAGGAUCUCCUGCUGCAUGGUGGGGGUUGGAAAGUUUCGGCGGUUGGGGAUGGACUCGCGGCUUAUCCGCUUGUUGGUGGGGUAGUGGCUUACCAAGGCUUUGACGGGUAGCCGGCCUGAGAGGGUGACCGGCCACAUUGGGACUGAGAUACGGCCCAGACUGCUACGGGAGGCAGCAGGGGGGAAUAUUGCACAAUGGGCGGAAGCCUGAUGCAGCAACGCCGCGUGCGGGAUGACGGCCUUCGGGUUGUAAACCGCUUUCGCCUGUGACGAAGCGUGAGUGACGGUAAUGGGUAAAGAAGCACCGGCUAACUACGUG
rnacentral:rRNA from 1 species